rnacentral:tRNA from 1 species
ACUUGGGUAGCUUAAUUAGAGCGUAACUUUGAAGUUGUUAAGGUAAUUUUAUUUCUAAGUA